rnacentral:rRNA from 1 species
AACGAACGCUGGCGGCAGGCCUAACACAUGCAAGUCGAGCGCGCCUUCGGGUGAGCGGCGGACGGGUGAGUAACACGUGGGAAUAUGCCUUUCGGUGCGGAAUAGUCUUGGGAAACUGAGGGUAAUACCGCAUACGCCCCCUGGGGGAAAGAUUUAUCGCCGACAGAUUAGCCCGCGUUGGAUUAGGUAGUUGGUGGGGUAAUGGCCUACCAAGCCGACGAUCCAUAGCUGGUUUGAGAGGAUGGUCAGCCACACUGGGACUGAGACACGGCCCAGACUCCUACGGGAGGCAGAAGUGAGGAAUCUUAGACAAUGGGGGCAACCCUGAUCUAGCCAUGCCGCGUGAGUGAUGAAGGCCUUAUGGUUGUAAAGCUCUUUCAGCUGGGAAGAUAAUGACGGUACCAGCAGAAGAAGCCCCGGCUAACUCCGUGCCAGCAGCCGCAGUAA